UGGAAGAAAGGAAGGAAUAUUCCAUGACACGCUGGGCUCUGCUCUCCUUUCCCCUCAUGAAACGCUCCUGAUAAGUUCCCAAAUCACACUCAGGUUUCAGAAGAUGAGCCUCUCAGACGGCCUCACAGGAUCAUGGGAAAAUUAAGGCCUACGGAAUACCCGGCGGUCCUGUCGAAGUAUGUGCUUCUAGAAUCACCAGGACAAGGAAGGGCACUGUCCGAAUUCUUUAACCAAAUGUGGCUAUAACAGGACUUCAUCCUCGCAGAGAACCACUGAAGCAGAUCAGAAUAGGACAAUACUUCAAGUCACCCAUGGACACUAGGUGGAGAAGUCCCUCACCAUGCUUAUCAAUGAGCGUUAAGGAGACCCAGCACAGAGGGAUCCAGAGCUGAAAGUCAGAAAAACAUGAGGAUUACUCAAGAGGCUCAGAAACCAUCUUUGGUAACUUUAUUCCAGAUAAGUACUGCUUCAGGACAGAGGGUCUGGAUGUCAUGGAGAAUACAUACCCCAACUUCUCAGAUAGAACAAACUUUUUACAACAGUGGAGCAAGUUAACUACUAAAGCUACUUAAAAACAGCCAUUGGAGGGCGCCUGGGUGGCUCAGUGGGUUAAAGCCUCUGCCUUCGGCUCAGGUCAUGAUCCCAGGGUCCUGGGAUGG